UACAGAGGGGGCAAGCGUUAUUCGGAAUUAUUGGGCGUAAAGGGCGCGUAGGCGGCUUGGCAAGUGGAUGGUGAAAUCCCUCGGCUUAACCGAGGAACUGCCGUCCAAACUGCUUAGCUUGAGACCGGGAGAGGUGAGUGGAAUUCCCAGUGUAGCGGUGAAAUGCGUAGAUAUCUGGAGGAACACCGGUGGCGAAGGCGGCAUCCUGGACCGGCAUUGACGCUGAGGAGCGAAAGCCAGGGGAGCAAACGGG
rnacentral:rRNA from 1 species